UUGGAGGGCAAGUCUGGUGCCAGCAGCCGCGGUAAUUCCAGCUCCAAUAGCGUAUAUUAAAGUUGUUGCAGUUAAAAAGCUCGUAGUUGAAUUUCGGGGUUAGUAGGUUGGUCAUGCCUCUGGUAUGUACUGGUCUCACUGAUUCCUCCUUCCUGAUGAGCCGUAAUGCCAUUAAUUUGGUGUUGCGGGGAAUUUGGACUGUUACUUUGAAAAAAUUAGAGUGUUUAAAGCAAGCUAACGCUUGAAUACAUUAGCAUGGAAUAAUGAAAUAGGACGUUCGAUCCUAUUUUGUUGGUUUCUAGGAUUGACGUAAUGAUUAAUAGGGAUAGUUGGGGGCAUUAGUAUUCAAUUGUCAGAGGUGAAAUUCUUGGAUUUAUUGAAGACUAACUACUGCGAAAGCAUUUGCCAAGGAUGUUUUCAUUAAUCAAGAACGAAAGUUAGGGGAUCGAAGACGAUCAGAUACCGUCGUAGUCUUAACCAUAAACUAUGCCGACUAGGGAUCGGACGAUGUUAAUUUUUUAAUGACUCAUUCGGCGCCUUACGGGAAAC
rnacentral:rRNA from 1 species